UGGGCUGUUCGCCCAUUAAAGAGGCACGCGAGCUGGGUUCAGAACGUCGCGAGACAGUUCGGUCCCUAUCCGUCGUGGGCGUAGGAAAUUUGAGAGGAGCUGUCCUUAGUACGAGAGGACCGGGAUGGACAAACCUCUGGUGCACCAGUUGUACUGCCAAGUGCAUAGCUGGGAAGCUAAGUUUGGAAGGGAUAAGAGCUGAAGGCAUCUAAGCCCGAAGCCCCCCUCGAGAUGAGAUUUCCCUCGCAAGAUAAGACCCCUUGAAGAAAACGAGGUAGAUAGGCUCAAGGUGUAAGUGUAGCAAUACAUUCAGCUAGCGAGUACUAAUAGGUCGAAGACUUGACCAAAA
rnacentral:rRNA from 1 species